UUGUUAACCAAGGAAUUCGACCUAAUACUUACACAUAUACCAUACUUAUUGAUGGUUUGUGUGAGGGUAACAGAUUAAACGAUGCAUGGCAGAUUUUCCAACAUCUUUUGGUUAAUGGUCAUCCUUUGGAUGUGCCAGCAUAUAAUGCUAUGAUCAAAGGACUUUGUAAAGAGCAUUUGUAUGAUGAGGCAAAGGCUUUGCUUUAUAAAAUGCAAGAGAAUGGGUGCUCGCCUGAUCUUGUAACUUUUGAAACAAUUAUUAUACCUCUUUUGGAAAAAGGUGAGAAUGAUGAGGCAAAGAAUCUGAUUGAUGAAUUGUUCAUCAAGGUCUCUUGAAAUGAUAAAAGAAGUUGCUUGGUUUCAGGUAUGGAACAGAAAGAGAGCAUGACAAAUCAUUCAAUCGACCGCAUGGCUGACAGAACAAGCAAGAUGCUGAAAGUUCAACUGGUCGAAGAUCUCGUUCAAAGACUGAUUGCAAGGCAAGCAUGCAUGUAAAAAGAAGGCCUGAUGGAAAAUGGGUAGUUCACAGUUUUGUGAAGGGGCAUAAUCAUGAGCUUUUACCAGCUCAAGCUAAAACUAGGCAUGACUAUAUGAACUUUUGUGAUGUGGUUUCUUCUGAUAUAAUCUAUGUUACGAACAAAUAUAAGUUGCCUCUCUUGCGCUUUUGUUGGAGUAAAUCUGCAAUAUCAAUUUUUACUGCUUGGGCGUGCCUUAAUAUCAGAUGAAAGUUGUAACUUGAUCCAGAAUAUCUGUUGUUUACUACGGAUCAUGUUAAGAAAUGGUAGAAGGGUUUGGUGUUAAAAGAUCUUGUAGAGGUGGUUGGUUGUAUUGUAGUUCUGAUUCUUUAGGCUACAUGGUAAGUUGUAAUGAGAGUAUUGUAGUUUGUCAUGAAAAUUUUCAAAUGUUCUUCAUUUUCCAUUA